rnacentral:rRNA from 1 species
CCUACGGGUGGCAGCAGUGAGGAAUAUUGGUCAAUGGGCGCAAGCCUGAACCAGCCAAGUCGCGUGCGGGAAGACGGCCCUAUGGAUUGUAAACCGCUUUUGUCCGGGGGUAAAAGACGCCACGCGUGGCGUUCUGAGAGUACCCGAAGAAAAAGCAUCGGCUAACUCCGUGCCAGCAGCCGCGGUAAUACGGAGGAUGCGAGCGUUAUCCGGAUUUAUUGGGUUUAAAGGGUGCGCAGGCGGAAGAUAAAGUCCGCGGUAAAAUCGGGAGGCUCAACCUCUUCGAGCCGUUGAAACUGGUUUUCUUGAGUGAGUGAGAAGUAUGCGGAAUGCGUGGUGUAGCGGUGAAAUGCAUAGAUAUCACGCAGAACACCGAUUGCGAAGGCAGCAUACCGGCGCUCUACUGACGCUGAUGCACGAAAGCGUGGGUAUCGAACAGGAUUAGAUACCCCAGUAGUC